rnacentral:rRNA from 1 species
CCUACGGGAGGCUGCAGUAAGGAAUAUUGGUCAAUGGACGAGAGUCUGAACCAGCCAAGUAGCGUGAAGGAUGACUGCCCUAUGGGUUGUAAACUUCUUUUAUAUGGGAAUAAAAUGUUCCACGUGUGGGAUUUUGUAUGUACCAUAUGAAUAAGGAUCGGCUAACUCCGUGCCAGCAGCCGCGGUAAUACGGAGGAUCCGAGCGUUAUCCGGAUUUAUUGGGUUUAAAGGGAGCGUAGGUGGAUUGUUAAGUCAGUUGUGAAAGUUUGCGGCUCAACCGUAGAAUUGCAGUUGAAACUGGCAGUCUUGAGUACAGUAGAGGUGGGCGGAAUUCGUGGUGUAGCGGUGAAAUGCUUAGAUAUCACGAAGAACUCCGAUUGCGAAGGCAGUUCACUGGACUGCAACUGACACUGAGGCUCGAAAGUGUGGGUAUCAAACAGGAUUAGAUACCCGGGUAGUC